GGGGAUGUAUCGUUUCGACAGGAUGGCACUUUAAAAACUGCAAGCCGAACACGAUUCUAAAGUGCGUAAACUUUGAAUCAAACUUACGUGCAAAGAACAAACUUGCACAACUGGCUGAUGCCAUUUUUGGUGUUAGACAGCCAGCAGCUCUAGCAUUUGCUGCAUAAGCAAAGCAUGAGCUUGUCUUUUUAGUCUUUUCUCGGUGAGGCUUUAAAGGCAACAAUUUAGCCGGGAUUGUCCGUCCAUAUUGAUCAAAUGGACGAGACGAAACUUUGAUCUUUGUUUGGAUUUCGUUUGUCAAUCGACUAAAGAUUCAAGCGAGAUAUUAAAGAUUGACUAAGCUUGUAGAUGUUUUUAUUUUGUUUUCUUGGACCCGGGUCCAAAACCCGGCAUCUCCACCG
rnacentral:tmRNA from 13 species